AGCUUCCCAGGGCUCUCCGAGAAGUAUGGUAACAUAUUCACUGUACAUUUCGGACCCAGAAAGACAGUGGUGCUGGCUGGUUAUGAGACUAUUAAGGAUGCCCUUUUAAAUCAUGCUGAAGAAUUUGGAGAGAGGGCAGAAAUACCCAUAUUUAGGAAGACCACACACGGAAAUGGCAUAGUCUUCAGUCACGGAGAGUUAUGGAAAACAAUGCGAAGAUUCACCUUAUCUACCCUACGGGAUUUUGGAGUUGGAAAGAAAACCAUU